rnacentral:rRNA from 1 species
CAAUAGCGUAUAUUAAAGUUGUUGCAGUUAAAAAGCUCGUAGUUGGAUUUCUGGUGGGAGCGAUCGGUCUGGCGCUUAGCGCGAGUACUUGCAUCGUCUCCGGCCAUCCUUGGGGAAAGUCUGUCUGGCAUUAAGUUGUCGGGCAGAGGAUCCUCAUCGUUUACUGUGAAAAAAUUAGAGUGUUCAAAGCAGGCUUAUGCCGUUGAAUAUAUUAGCAUGGAAUAAUAAGAUAGGACUUUGGUACUAUUUUGUUGGUUUGCGCACCAAAGUAAUGAUUAAUAGGGACAGUUGGGGGUAUUCGUAUUCCGUUGUCAGAGGUGAAAUUCUUGGAUUUACGGAAGACGAACUACUGCGAAAGCAUUUACCAAGGAUGUUUUCAUUAAC